UCAUUUCAUAUUUAUUUUGUAUAGAGUUAGUUACGAAUUUGAGAUCGCUAAAUAUAUUUUUAUAAAGUUCAUUUUUCUUUCAACAAAAAGUUAUUCUACGAGGUGCGAAUAUGCAAAGCGAGGAGAAACGUUUUUUGAACUUUUUGGAAACAUUCCAGGGCUGCAAUUCGCAUUUAACAGCAGUUCAGGCUGCUAGAAUUGGCAGAGCCGCGUGGGACUCUCUGACGGCCGAAGAAAAAUCGAUUUACCAACCAGUAAGACCGGUAAGACCGGGAAGACCACCCGCGAAGAGUCCCGAGAACGUUGUUCCGGAUUGUGGCCCUAGUGCAAAGAAGAAGAAAAAUAAAUGUCUCACGAAGAAGAAGAAGCCUGUAUGUAAGUCAAAGCUGAGCCCUAAGCCAAAAACAAAGCGCAAGGCCGGCAAGAAGCGGAAAAAACGCUUAUGCCAUUAAUAUCAACUUUUUUAGACUGGACAUCAAAAUUAUACUAUUGUGUAAGGUGGAAACUUGAAUCCAGUCUGUAGAACCAGUAACAAUUUCCACAUCUCGUGCUAUUCCUAAAUAAUUCUUAACAUGGUUAAGGUCACAACUCUUGAAACUCCAUAUAAUCCUUGCUCCACUCAAAUCCUUUUUAUUCCAAUUCCUUAAAUAAAAUAAGAAGAAGCGAUCCAAAAUACGUAUAUGUACGUAUAUGUUAUGUCAUUAAUUCAACUGUUUUACAGCUGGUAUAAACAUUUACAGCUUCCAUAGCUUUCACAGCAAAUUAACAGAACUCUAUGUCAGAACAGUUAGGACGUAAAGGUCAAUCAAUUGAACAAAUUAGAUCAGUUGACUAAUGAACACUGACUCUGAGC